UACGAAGGGUGCGAGCGUUGUCCGGAAUCACUGGGCGUAAAGGGCGCGUAGGCGGCGCGGGUAGUCAUCGGUGAAAGUUCAGGGCUCAACUCUGAAUCGGCCGGUGAUACUCCCGUGCUCGAGCACUGUAGAGGCAGGUGGAAUUCCGGGUGUAGCGGUGGAAUGCGUAGAGAUCCGGAAGAACACCGGUGGCGAAGGCGGCCUGCUGGGCAGUAGCUGACGCUGAUGCGCGACAGCGUGGGGAGCAAACAGG
rnacentral:rRNA from 1 species